AACGAACGCUGGCGGCAGGCCUAACACAUGCAAGUCGAGCGCCAGCAAGGGAGCGGCGGACGGGUGAGUAACGCGUGGGAACGUGCCCUUUGCUACGGAAUAGCCUCGGGAAAUGGAGAGUAAUACCGUAAGUGCCCUUCGGGGGAACGAUUUGCCGGCGAAGGAUCGGCCCGCGUUGGAUUAGGUAGUUGGUGGGGUAAUGGCCUACCAAGCCGACGAUCCAUAGCUGGUUGGAGAGGAUGAACAGCCACACUGGGACUAAGACACGGCCAAGACUCCUACGGGAGGCAGCAGUGGGGAAUCUUAGACAAUGGGCGCAAGCCUGAUCUAGCCAUGCCGCGUGAGCGAUGAAGGCCUUAGGGUUGUAAAGCUCUUUCGUGGGGGAAGAUAAUGACGGUACCCCAAGAAGAAGCCCCGGCUAACUCCGUGCCAGCAGCCGCAGUAAGAC
rnacentral:rRNA from 1 species